CCUACGGGAGGCAGCAGUGGGGAAUUUUGGACAAUGGGCGCAAGCCUGAUCCAGCAAUGCCGCGUGAGUGAAGAAGGCCUUCGGGUUGUAAAGCUCUUUUGUCAGGGAAGAAACGGUUGGGGCUAAUAUCCUCGGCUAAUGACGGUACCUGAAGAAUAAGCACCGGCUAACUACGUGCCAGCAGCCGCGGUAAUACGUAGGGUGCAAGCGUUAAUCGGAAUUACUGGGCGUAAAGCGUGCGCAGGCGGUUUUGUAAGUCUGUCGUGAAAGCCCCGGGCUUAACCUGGGAAUUGCGAUGGAGACUGCAAGGCUUGAAUCUGGCAGAGGGGGGUAGAAUUCCACGUGUAGCAGUGAAAUGCGUAGAGAUGUGGAGGAACACCGAUGGCGAAGGCAGCCCCCUGGGUCAAGAUUGACGCUCAUGCACGAAAGCGUGGGGAGCAAACAGGAUUAGAUACCCUGGUAGUCCACGCCCUAAACGAUGUCUACUAGUUGUCGGGUCUUAAUUGACUUGGUAACGCAGCUAACGCGUGAAGUAGACCGCCUGGGGAGUACGGUCGCAAGAUUAAAACGUCAAAGGAAUUGACGG
rnacentral:rRNA from 1 species